ACUCAAAGGAAUUGACGGGGACCCGCACAAGCAGCGGAGCAUGUGGUUUAAUUCGAUGCAACGCGAAGAACCUUACCAGGACUUGACAUCCCCCGGACAAUAGUAGAGAUACUAUCUUCUCUUCGGAGACUGGGGAGACAGGUGGUGCAUGGUUGUCGUCAGCUCGUGUCGUGAGAUGUUGGGUUAAGUCCCGCAACGAGCGCAACCCCUGCUUCUAGUUGCCAACAGUUAGGCUGUGCACUCUAGAGGGACUGCCGAUGACAAAUCGGAGGAAGGUGGGGAUGACGUCAAAUCAUCAUGCCCUUUAUGUCCUGGGCUACACACGUGCUACAAUGGUCGGUACAACGGGUAGCGAGCGAGCGAUCGUAAGCCAAUCCCUUAAAGCCGAUCCCAGUUCGGAUUGCAGGCUGCAACUCGCCUGCAUGAAGUCGGAGUUGCUAGUAAUCGUGGAUCAGAAUGCCACGGUGAAUGCGUUCCCGGGUCUUGUACACACCGCCCGU
rnacentral:rRNA from 1 species